CCUACGGGCGGCAGCAGUGAGGAAUAUUGGUCAAUGGACGAGAGUCUGAACCAGCCAAGUAGCGUGAAGGAUGACUGCCCUAUGGGUUGUAAACUUCUUUUAUAUGGGAAUAAAAUGUUCCACGUGUGGGAUUUUGUAUGUACCAUAUGAAUAAGGAUCGGCUAACUCCGUGCCAGCAGCCGCGGUAAUACGGAGGAUCCGAGCGUUAUCCGGAUUUAUUGGGUUUAAAGGGAGCGUAGGUGGAUUGUUAAGUCAGUUGUGAAAGUUUGCGGCUCAACCGUAAAAGUGCAGUUGAAACUGGCAGUCUUGAGUACAGUAGAGGUGGGCGGAAUUCGUGGUGUAGCGGUGAAAUGCUUAGAUAUCACGAAGAACUCCGAUUGCGAAGGCAGUUCACUGGACUGCAACUGACACUGAGGCUCGAAAGUGUGGGUAUCAAACAGGAUUAGAUACCCGUGUAGUC
rnacentral:rRNA from 1 species